rnacentral:rRNA from 1 species
GAUGAACGCUGGCGGCGUGCCUAAUACAUGCAAGUAGAACGCUGAAGGAGGAGCUUGCUCUUCUGGAUGAGUUGCGAACGGGUGAGUAACGCGUAGGUAACCUGCCUGGUAGCGGGGGAUAACUAUUGGAAACGAUAGCUAAUACCGCAUGACAACAGUUAUUGCAUGAUAACUGUUUAAAAGGGGCAACUGCUCCACUACCAGAUGGACCUGCGUUGUAUUAGCUAGUUGGUGAGGUAACGGCUCACCAAGGCGACGAUACAUAGCCGACCUGAGAGGGUGAUCGGCCACACUGGGACUGAGACACGGCCCAGACUCCUACGGGAGGCAGCAGUAGGGAAUCUUCGGCAAUGGACGGAAGUCUGACCGAGCAACGCCGCGUGAGUGAAGAAGGUUUUCGGAUCGUAAAGCUCUGUUGUAAGAGAAGAACGAGUGUGAGAGUGGAAAGUUCACACUGUGACGGUAUCUUACCAGAAAGGGACGGCUAACUACGCG